rnacentral:rRNA from 1 species
GACGAACGCUGGCGGCGUGCCUAAUACAUGCAAGUCGAACGCUUCUUUCCUCCCUAGUGCUUGCUCUCAAUUGGAAAGGGUAGUGGCGGACUGGUGAUUAACACGUUGGUAACCUACCCCUCAGAGGGGGAUGACAUAUUGAAACAUAUGCUAAUACCGAAUAACAGUUUAUGCCUCAUGGCUUACGCUUUCAAGUCACUUUCGGUCGUCGUAGAUGGAUGGAGCCGGGGUGCAUUAGCUAGUUGGUGAGGUAACGGCUCACCAAGGCCACGAUGCAUAACUGGUCUGAGAGGAUGAUCAGUCACACUGGGACUGAGACACGGCCCAGACUCCUACGGGAGGCAGCAGUAGGGAAUAUUGGGCAAUGGACGAAAGUCUGAUCCAGCAACGCCGCGUGAGUGAAGAAGGUCUUCGGAUCGUAAAACUCUGUUGUUUGGGAAGAAGGAGGACAUUAGAAACUGAACGUGCCCUGACGUUACCAAAAGAGAAAGCAACGGCUAACUACGUG